AGACCCCUUGAAGACGACGAGGUAGAUAGGCUGGGGGUGGAAGUGCAGCAAUGCAUGGAGCUGACCAGUACUAAUCGGUCGAGGGCUUAUCCAA
rnacentral:rRNA from 2 species